AGAGUUUGAUCAUGGCUCAGGACGAACGCUGGCGGCGUGCUUAACACAUGCAAGUGGUGCGACGAACCAGGGCUUGCCCUGGGGCAAAGCCGCGAACGGGUGAGUAACACGUGAGUAAUCUGCCCCGAUGACCGGGACAACCCGAGGAAACUCGGGCUAAUACCGGAUGUGGUGCCUUGGCGUAAGCCUUUGCACUAAAGGAAGCUUCGGCCUCCGCAUUGGGAGGAGCUCGCGGCCCAUUAGCUUGUUGGUGGGGUAACGGCCUACCAAGGCGACGAUGGGUAGCUGGUCUGAGAGGACGAUCAGCCACACUGGGACUGAGACACGGCCCAGACUCCUACGGGAGGCAGCAGUGGGGAAUCUUGCGCAAUGCGCGAAAGCGUGACGCAGCAACGCCGCGUGGGGGAAGACGGCCUUCGGGUUGUAAACCCCUUUCAGGAGGGACGAAGGUUCGCCGGUGAAUAGCCGUGCGGAUUGACGGUACCUCCACAAGAAGCUCCGGCUAACUACGUGCCAGCAGCCGCGGUAAUACGUAGGGAGCAAGCGUUGUCCGGAAUCAUUGGGCGUAAAGCGCGCGUAGGUGGCCAUGUAAGUCCGCUGUGAAAGUCAAAGGCUCAACCUUUGAAAGCCGGUGGAUACUGCAUGGCUAGAGUACGGAAGAGGCGAGUGGAAUUCCUGGUGUAGCGGUGGAAUGCGCAGAUAUCAGGAGGAACACCAAUAGCGAAGGCAGCUCGCUGGGACGUUACUGACACUGAGGCGCGAAAGCGUGGGGAGCGAACAGGAUUAGAUACCCUGGUUAGUCCACGCCGUAAACGAUGGGUACUAGGUGUGGGAGGUGUCGACUCCUCCCGUGCCGUCGCUAACGCACUAAGUACCCCGCCUGGGGGAGUACGGCCGCAAGGCUAAACUCAAAGGAAUUGACGG
rnacentral:rRNA from 1 species